UACGAAGGUCCCGAGCGUUAUCCGGAUUCAUUGGGUUUAAAGGGUGCGUAGGUGGAAUAAUAAGUCAGUGGUGAAAUCUUGCAGCUCAACUGUAAAACUGCCAUUGAUACUGUUGUUCUUGAGUAUAGUUGAUGUGGGCGGAAUAUGUCAUGUAGCGGUGAAAUGCUUAGAUAUGACAUAGAACACCGAUUGCGAAGGCAGCUCACAAAGCUAUUACUGACACUGAGGCACGAAAGCGUGGGGAUCAAACAGG
rnacentral:rRNA from 1 species